rnacentral:rRNA from 1 species
AGCGAACGCUGGCGGCAGGCUUAACACAUGCAAGUCGAGCGGGCAUCCUUGUGGUGUCAGCGGCAGACGGGUGAGUAACGCGUGGGAACGUGCCCUUCGGUUCGGAAUAACUCAGGGAAACUUGAGCUAAUACCGGAUACGUGCGAGAGCAGAAAGGUUUAUCUGCCGAAGGAUCGGCCCGCGUCUGAUUAGCUAGUUGGUGAGGUUAUGGCUCACCAAGGCGACGAUCAGUAGCUGGUCUGCGAGGAUGAUCAGCCACACUGGGACUGAGACACGGCCCAGACUCCUACGGGAGGCAGCAGUGGGGAAUAUUGGACAAUGGGGGCAACCCUGAUCCAGCCAUGCCGCGUGAGUGAUGACGGCCUUAGGGUUGUAAAGCUCUUUUCUUCGGGACGAUAAUGACGGUACCGGAGGAAUAAGCCCCGGCUAACUUCGUG